rnacentral:rRNA from 1 species
GACGAACGCUGGCGGCGUGCUUAACACAUGCAAGUCGAACGAAGUGCCGAACGGGUGAGUAAUACGUGGUUAACCUGCCCUCCUUUUAGGGAUAAGACUUGGCAACGGGGUCUAAUACCGAAUAAAGGGGGAUGUGCUCGCGGCCUAUCAGCUUGUUUGUGGGGUGAUGGCCUACCAAGGCGGUGCCGGGUAGCCGGACUGAGAUGGUGACGGGAGAAAUUGGGACUGAGAUAGGGCCCAGACUCAUACGGGAGGCAGAAGUGGGGGAUAUUGGACAAUGGGGUAAAGCCUGAUGCAGCGGAGCGGCGUGGGGGAUGAAGGCUUGCGGGUUGGAAACCGCUUUCGCGAUGGAACGGGGAGGUGGAGUAGAAAAGCCGGCCAACUACGGGCCAGGCGGCGCGGUAAUUC